AUUUUGUUGCUUGUGAACUUUUCCUUCAAAUUUUUUCCAUUUUAUUUAGCGAUAAAUAUUUUUUAUGUAAAUUCAAUGUAUUAAUAUUUAUUUCAUUUAUCAUCGACAGAACUCCUUCAAGAUGCCAAUAUUAAAAUUAAUCAGAAUACAAAUUCUUAAAAUUUAGAAGUCUUGUCUAAAUAUAGGUCCACAGAUGACCACCUAACUUAUCCACUAUCUAGAAGUGUAUAAUUUUACUAAAUAAUUUAAAAUUCAAAUAUUUGAAAGGCAAAUUUCUUUAGAAUAUUUGAAUUUUAUCGACAAAGCUAGCUUUAGGUUAGUUGGGGAUUAGAUGGAAAACACACAAACUCCCCUAUUUUUUAACUUCCCAUCUUAAUAAUCGAUCUCUAAUGUUGAAAAUAUCAUAAAAAUGUUAAAAAUAGGAGUUCUUUAAUUACAAGAAAUCGGGAAUUGAAUUCGUUUAUAUAGGAUCUAUACAAUUUUUUUUUUUAUAAAUCAGGUGUACACACACUCAUGGCUCACCUACAAAAUAUCUUGUUCUCUCUCUCUGCAUUUCAAACAAUGUCUUCCUUUCUCUACAUUCAAACAUAUACCUCUCUCUCUUCUACACCUACUGUUGAAUAACCGUCCCUAGUCGCAUCCAUCGUUGGCCGCCAACACCCCACCUCUCCUGAAUGCGACUCCACUUCUCUCUUCUCCGUCGUCGCGCAGCAUCUAGUACCUUCCACUUCUUUCUCCAUUGUCGAUCAUACAGCAUCCCUAUGUCUCUCUUAACCAACGACAGCAUCCCGUCACCUCCACUUCUCUCUCCAUCGUCAAACCGUGACUGCACUUCUCUUUCCAUCGCUAGACUGCGACUCCAUCUCCGUAUUAGAACUAAAAUGAAAUGAAAACCAUUGACUGUUAUUCAUCCAAGUCACUGAAAACGAGUAUACAUAUACAGUAUAAAUAGGCGCCAAAAGAAGAGAAAAAAACAGCUGUCAUAACUAACUGCGAGCUGGUAAAACUAACUACCUAACUUGCUAACUAACUUCUAUACAAAAUGUGUUUUGGUUCUAAUAAUCAGCCACUAUGAUUCCACCUUUUUCUUCGUCGCCAGACUGUUACUCCACUUCUCUCUUCAUCGCCAAUCACGCAAAACCCCACCGCCUCCCAAAUUUUCCUCUCCUAACCGUUCCCUAAAUCAAAUUAUUUCGAUAAAAAUGUGUGAGUACGUUUGGCCAUGCUUAAAAGUCGCUAAAGAAGAUGCUUUUAGGUAAGUAUGUAGAUGUGCUUAAAGGUAGCUAAAAAAAGCUACUUUUCAGGUGAAACAGUUCUCUUCUCCUUGUUCUUAUAUUCCUUCUGUGAGAGAUGGAUAAAGAAGUUUUUUCUCUGCAAUUCCAAAGAAGAGAUAUUAUCAAAUUUUUCUUAAGUUUCUUGAUGUAACUUGAUUCAAAUGAGGAUCCUAAGAUUGCAGAAAUACCACAUUGUGAGAAUAUGUAAAAUAGAUUAGAAUUCAAUCUAAGAUAGAUUUGGAAAAAUUCAUCUAUUUCUUGCCAUUUUUAAUGUCCUAGUUGCUUGCUUUCCAUGUCGUCCUUAGUGUGAUCUCCACAUCUCGUAAUUGAGCGCUGUACUUUUCGUAAGUGGAUUUUGCUCAUCAAGUUCUUAUUCAAUCUGCAGCUUAGAACCCCAAAAUAUUCAUCUCGAUCAGUUGGUAUCCUUUUAUUUAUGAGAGGCCAUAAUUGAAGAAAAGAAAUGAAACCUGUUUUUCAAAUUAUUAGCUAAUGAUUUCAUGUUUCUUCAGAAUCUAUCUAGAAGACGGAAGGAUUGCCUUCAGUUACAAGAACCAAUAAUCAAACUAGUUAAAAACCAGAUCUGCCACGUUUGUCUGCCCAAUUCCUCAUUUUAGGGGGAAAAAGACACUGCAUCAAGUGACGAUAAUAAUAGAAUAUAAGUAGAAAACUACAUCGGAUUCUAAUGUUCUUUCCUACGCUAUUUCGCGUAUAAAUAACUCACUACGAAUGUCCCUGAUCUCUUCUCCACUCGCAGCUCAUAGGGCUUGCAAUGUGUGCUUUUUGACUAAUUUUGUAACAGUGAUCCAUAAUUUAUGUCCUUGUGACGUAACAUUUCAAUAAAUAAUGUGUCAUAAAAAAUGUAUGAUUUGCAAUUAAUUUUGUUAUUGUAACUUAUAAUUUAUAUCUUUGUUAUUGUGAUCGUAUACGAUUUGUGACUACUGCGUGAUUUUAUAAAAAUAAACUGUGUUUGAUUAUGACCAUGACCUAAUUAAUUAAAUUAUAGAUCACAAACUUUUGUCAGGAAUCACAAAAUGUGACCAAUCUUUUAUUAGGGAUCAUAAAACUGAUCACCUAAUUUUUGAAAAAAAAAAAAAAAAAAUUCCACAAAUUUAAUGUUUUUUAAAAAUGCAACUUGAAAUAUUAGUAUUUAUAUAAUUUUCCCAGAAUUAUAUGAGGUAAUCAGGAUGUCGAGUAUUGUUGAAAAAGUAAAUGCAGAAACCGAAUUUUCUAUGCCGUUUGCUAACUGCUAGCCAAUUAGGAAUGUUGAAAUUAUCCAUGUUCUUGGAAAAUGGAUAUGUCCCACUGUUUCUAGAUGUACUCGUUUGCGCCUUGUAUCACAAUGGAAUCUACGAACUUCACACGCAGAGACUUGACGCUAUAUAACACUCACCAUCAUCACAGCCUUUUCCCAUAAUCUUAUGUGACUACUUCAGAUACACACAUCAAAAGAAAUAUCAAAUUGUAUCAAAGUUCGACUUCUACACUACAUUAGAAGAGCUAUGAACAAAUACGAUCAACACGAAGCUUCUGGUAAGCAUUACAUCAACUUUGUUUCCUUCGUCUUCUUAAGUAAAUUUCAAGAAAAAACUUGACUCUGCGAGGCUUGCUUUAGUUUCUAAUGGUUGUUCUACCCUCAUAAUUAAUUUGAACCGUCUUAACUGUUGCACAUCCAGCACCACCACCUUCAUAUGCUCCGGGAACACAAGGUAACCUUGAUGGCCCAUAUGUGAUGGCACCUCCACCAGUGGGUUAUCCUACAAAGGAUGGUGAUAAUAGAGGGGAUGCCCCUGUAGAGACGACAACCAGAGGCGAUGGCUUCUUGAAAGGAUGGUAAGAUUUCUAAUUCUUGACUCUGAUAAUCUAUAGGCAGUCUAUCUUGAAACCACGUUUCCCAAUUUUGCAACGAUUGUUCUUUCAGUCUAGCCGGUCUUUGCUGCUGCUGGUGCCUGGAUAUUUGCUUCUGAUGACGACAAAUGACUAUUCUUUCCUUAUUUGGGCUAUGUAAUACCUGCUGUGUUCUAUGUAGUGUUCAUUUCAUUAUUUUACACUAGUAAUAAAUUUAAAAUAAUUCAUAAUUUCCAAG
rnacentral:lncRNA from 1 species